AGGAGUGUAAACAAAAAAGAAGACGAUAUUCCAGUUCCACCCCUGAUUAAAAGUGCUGCUCUCGAGGUCAUGCCGCCCAAGAGGAUUGAGCAUCUACCAGUUAUGCAAACAUCGACUGAUGGUAGUUCUUCUAGUAAUGGCCUACCACUACGUAGGGAGACACGUGGCACACAUUCUGAUCGGCUGCGACGCCAGAUCUCUGCCCAGGGUAGAUUACCUAUUACUUUUCG